AUUGAACGCUGGCGGCAGGCUUAACACAUGCAAGUCGAGCGGGGUGAUGGUGCUUGCACUAUCACUUAGCGGCGGACGGGUGAGUAAUGCUUAGGAAUCUGCCUAUUAGUGGGGGACAACAUCUCGAAAGGGAUGCUAAUACCGCAUACGUCCUACGGGAGAAAGCAGGGGAUCUUCGGACCUUGCGCUAAUAGAUGAGCCUAAGUCGGAUUAGCUAGUUGGGGGGGUAAAGGCCUACCAAGGCGACGAUCUGUAGCGGGUCUGAGAGGAUGAUCCGCCACACUGGGACGGAGACACGGCCCAGACUCCUACGGGAGGCAGCAGUGGGGAAUAUUGGACAAUGGGGGGAACCCUGAUCCAGCCAUGCCGCGUGUGUGAAGAAGGCCUUAUGGUUGUAAAGCCCUUUAAGCGAGGAGGAGGCUACUGAGACUAAUACUCUUGGAUAGUGGACGUUACUCGCAGAAUAAGCACCGGCUAACUCUGUGCCAGCCGCCGCCGUAA
rnacentral:rRNA from 1 species